AACGCACCUUGCGCUCCUUGGUAUUCCGAGGAGCAUGCCUGUUUGAGUGUCAUGAAAUUCUCAAUCUUUCUGGCUUUUGUUAGCUGGUUAGGCUUGGAUUGUGGGAGCUGCUGGCGUCUCAGAUGUCAGCUCUUCUUAAAUGCAUUAGCAAAACCUUUGCUGACCAUCCUUGGUGUGAUAACUAUCUAUGCCAUUGAUAAUCAGCUCCACAUGGAGGGUUUAGCUUCUAAUAGUCCUUCUGGACAACUUCUUGACAAUUUGACCUCAAAUCAGGUAGGACUACCCGCUGAACUUAA
rnacentral:misc_RNA from 1 species